GACGAACGCUGGCGGCGUGCCUAAUACAUGCAAGUCGAACGCAGUGGGGACGGGUGAGUAACACGUGGGUAACCUCCCAUCAGAGGGGAUAACACUUGGAAACAGGUGCUAAACCGAUACUGAUGGAUGGCCCCGCGGUGCAUUAGCGAGUUGGUGAGGUAACGGCUCACCAAGGCCACGAUGCAUAGCCGACCUGAGAGGAUGAUCGGCCAAACGGGAAGUGGGAAACGGCCCAGACUCCUACGGGAGGCAGCAGUAGGGAAGUUUGGACAAUGGACGAAAGUCUUACCGAGCAAGGCCGCGUGAGUGAAGAAGGUUUUCGGAUCUUAAAGCGCUGUCAUUAUAGAAGCGGUAUCUAACGAAAAAGCCACGGCUAACUACGUGCCAGCCGCCGCGGUAAUAC
rnacentral:rRNA from 1 species